UACGUAGGUGGCAAGCGUUAUCCGGAUUUACUGGGCGUAAAGCGAGCGCAGGUGGUUUAUUAAGUCUGGUGUAAAAGGCAGUGGCUCAACCAUUGUAUGCAUUGGAAACUGGUAGACUUGAGUGCAGGAGAGGAGAGUGAAAUUCCAUGUGUAGCGGUGAAAUGCGUAGAUAUAUGGAGGAACACCGGUGGCGAAAGCGGCUCUCUGGCCUGUAACUGACACUGAGGCUCGAAAGCGUGGGGAGCAAACAGG
rnacentral:rRNA from 1 species